CCCCCCCCCGAUUUCAUUCAAAUUUGGUAUACAUAUUACACAAUGCCUACUUAAGGGAUAUCUGGAAAAAAAUCGAAAUCGGAUAAUAACCACGCCCACCUCCCAUAUAACGGUAAUUUUUGAAAACACUAAAGAUCGAAAAUUUUAAUAACUGUUGAAGGGAAACAUCUUGAGUUUGGUAUUCGGUGUUGUAUUGCAGCCAGAAAUCCAACUAUAUGAAAAUUUUGGCAUGUCACCGCCCACUUUUGUAUGCAUAUGUAAAUCUCUGGAACUACUUUAUCGAUUUCGUCUAAAUUUGGUACACAUUUUAGAUUGUACCUAGUUAGGUGAGAUUAUGAAAAUGAUAAAAAUUGGGCAAAAACUACGGCCACCUCCCGUAUAACGGUAUUUUUCUGUACGGUCACUGCUUUAUGUUUUCGACUCUAGUAGUUGUUACUGUUUUCCUUUUCAUUUAUUAAAAAAGAAAUCAAAUCAUUCCAAUUUCUGUUACACUGUCGAUUGUAGUUUGAUUUGCACUUGUUUUUUUUUUUUUAAUUUUAUUUGUUUGCUAUGAUUUUAUCAACUUCAACAAUUGUUUGCGAAACCAUCGUUUUAAAUUAUUUUGAUACAAUACAGUUAAAAGUUUUUACUCAAGGAAGAAGUGUGUGCUUCUGAUUUUCGUGAUUCUAACAUUUUAAAGCAAAACUUAAGCUUCUUUUAAUUAUGGAGUCAUCUCCUAUAUCAAUUAGUUCUUGUGCUAAUGAUAUUACAUUAUCAAAUCUCUCGGAAUCAAAUUUGGUGCAUAUGCCAGAUCCAAAUUUUAGUGCUUUUGGUUUGCCAAUUGAUUUACACGAACUAAACUUGCCAACUUGCCGCGAUGCUUUAAAAUAUUUUUUUUUUUGAGUUAUCGCUCUAAAAAUAGAAAUAAAAUGGAGCAAAUUGAAUAUUGGCAUAAUAGCGAAGAAAACCAUAACAAACAAGCUGAAAACCUUGCUGAAUAAAUAUUUUGAAGAAACAAAAGGCACGUCUACAUCAAAAAAAUACACCGCAUUUAUCAAGACUAUGAACAACUUAUUCUAUAUUGAAAAACGCAAGUGCAAUUUACAAAGAAAUUGUUGCUCAUGUGGUUUUAUGCCUGAUCAUUUACACGAAUUUUUGACUGAUCAGCAUACCGCGAGGAAACUGACAAUUCCAGCGAUCCUGGCGGAUGUUGUUGAUUUGGAUUUGGCUCCAACAGCUACUGAAUAUUCAUCUUAUUAUUAAGCGCGGCCCGUAUACGAAAAGGCUUGAUACCCCCAAUUAUGCUAUGAUGUGCGACAGAUUUGGUGUGUCAGACAGAGUUGCUGCGUGUUUGGCUACGGCACUUUUUAAAGAUAUAGAUUUCAAAGACGACAAUGGGAACUUAUUAUUGUGAACAAAUGUAAAGAAGCGCGAGAAAAGAAAAAAAUCAGGGAUUCUGUGCGUCAAAAACAAUGCAGGGAUUCCAGCGUGCUGGCCUUCUCAUUCGAUGGCAGAAAAGAUGAAUCAUUGACAAAGGAGAAGGUUGAUCAUAAGCUUCACCCAAAAGUGGUUAAAGAAUCUAACAUCGUGGUUGUGCGAGAACCUAAAACCGAACUCUUGGGUCAUUUAACACUCAAUGCUGAGGACGCUGGUACAAAACAAAAGCUGCUAUAUGACUUCUUUGUUAAAAAGGACUUAGCUCUUUUCGAACUGCUUGGUAUUUGCCGCGACGGUGAAGUCAGCAAUACUGGCACGGAAAACGGCAUAUUACGACGGUUUGAAGUACUGUUAGACAGAUCAUUGCACCUUUUCGCCACUUAUUUUGCGCGCUAGAAAAAUCAACAACAAGUGGACCGCGAACUGACAGUGGAGCUCUGACAAAAUUAAUGGAAACCUGUGAACAGAUUCAGGUUGUACCCGACUUUCAGCGUAUUUUUCUGGGGAAUAUGCCUCCUUCCUUGUCGUCAGAACAGGAAAAAACUCUUUCAACGGACGUUAAGUACUUUUAUCGGAUAACCAACGCGAUUCAUAACAUCUAGAAUGGACAGCAAACACGACCUUAAAACUAAUAAAUUCUGAACUUUAGAAGUAUAUUAUAUGUAUUUUGUUUGGCCCUUAACAGUUAAGCUUUUGCUUUAUAUAUAGAUAUAAAAUGAUAUUGUUAACUGCAAUACGAUUUCGCGGAAUAUUAAAACUAUUAAAGUUUGAAAUUUUA